rnacentral:rRNA from 1 species
UACGUAGGGUGCAGGCGUUAAUCGGAAUUACUGGGCGUAAAGGGCUCGUAGGCGGCCAGCUAAGUCAGACGUGAAAUCCCUCGGCUCAACCGGGGAACUGCGUCUGAUACUGGAUGGCUUGAGUGUGGGAGAGGGAUGCGGAAUUCCAGGUGUAGCGGUGAAAUGCGUAGAUAUCUGGAGGAACACCGGUGGCGAAGGCGGCAUCCUGGACCACGACUGACGCUGAGGAGCGAAAGCCAGGGGAGCAAACGGG